rnacentral:rRNA from 1 species
UACGGAGGAUGCGAGCGUUAUCCGGAUUUAUUGGGUUUAAAGGGAGCGUAGACGGGUUUUUAAGUCAGCUGUGAAAGUUUGGGGCUCAACCUUAAAAUUGCAGUUGAAACUGGAGACCUUGAGUACGGUUGAGGCAGGUGGAAUUCGUGGUGUAGCGGUGAAAUGCUUAGAUAUCACGAAGAACCCCGAUUGCGAAGGCAGCCUGCUAAGCCGCCACUGACGUUGAGGCUCGAAAGUGCGGGUAUCAAACAGG